GGAGGACACAGACAAGUUGCUACACGCGUUGGAUAGGAAAAAGCAGCGGAAGAUCAAGGAUUGGGCCAAGCAUCACAGGAAGUAUGUCGUCUAGUUCGCGCUUAGGGUGGAGCAAGCUAGGGCUGGAAAACGAGCCCAGCUUCGUGAGCACUGCCCGGUCGCGUUCAACAACUAUCUCACAUGGUUUCUUGCAAGUACCCGUGUGGAGGUAUGCAAGCUGGCGUAUGCUGAGGAGAUUUUGGAAGAUCCCACCGUUUUUUAUGAGGUAGCCCAGCACCAGUACAACGCAUUAGUCAGGAAAGGCAACUCAGUGAUCCCUUCAGCUCCAAUGAUGAACUUUGUGCGUGCCCAGAUCAAGAAAGCAGCUGAUGAGACCGAGACUAUUCUGGAAACAACCCCGGCUGGCAAAAACGAUGGGGAAGGUGCACUUCGAGCAUUCAUUAAGCGCCAGGGCCAAAAGUUAAGGCGGCUAUCAAACCUUUUCGGUUGUCGUGACCCCGAGUAUGUAUCACCAGAACGGUCUAGGUCGGCGACACCAUCAGAUCCCACUUCGGGCCAGGGCCAUGGUGAUCCUUUGGAGGAUGAGGAUGUGGGUGUGGUCACCCAAGAGGUAUGGCAUGAGCAUAUAUCCAAUUGUUGAUGCAUUGCUAACUAUAUCCUCACACACGGUCUUUCCAUAUCUUUUGUUGAUGCAUAGGUUGCUGAUGAUAUGACCUUGGGGACGUACCAGGUUCGGUCUGCAUACGAGUUAAAGCCUAGAAAGGGAAUCAACAAAUACACACCUGAAGACUUCACCCAAAGAGGCAAAAGGAUGGUCGGCACCUCGCGGAUGGCGGCUUUGGAUGACUAUUUGGAUGACGAUGUGGAUGACGUGGAGGAACCGGAGCCGGAGCCGGAGCGGGUUGCUCUUCCUAGAAAGGCGAAGAAGAUAGCCAGCAAGAGGGGGGGAGCAGCCAAAAAGCACUCAAGGAACUAGUCAUCGUCCUCUAUUUGUAAUGUUGAACUUGGAGUGGUGGUAGCUCUUAGUAAGGUGGAACUUAUUAUGUCGUUGCACUUGGAGUGGUGGUAGCUCUAUGUUAAACUUGAAGUUGUGAUAGCUGUUAGUAAUGUGGAACUUGUUAUGUCGUUGAACUUGGAGUGGUGCUAGUAAUGUUGAACUUGUUGGAAAUGUUGUCUUUGUUGAACUUAAAGAUCCUUACUGUUUAUUGUA